ensembl:lncRNA
UUACUGCUAAGUGGUUUACAGAGCCAAAACCAUUCUCAGCGAAGUGCCCAAGGAGCUGGGAGGGAACAGAAUUAGAACAGCUGACUUUCACUGGUUAGAGGGAUAUCUCAUACCAUAUGACAUCCAGCAGAAGGAGUUUUGAAGGAGGUAGGAGUUCAUCUCUCUCUUCUGCUGCUCGGGAGGCUAGCUGGGAAUCAAUCGUUCACUUCCUUCCCGUGCAUGUCCAGCUGAGCUUUGAAAGUUGCUCAGUAGAUUCCACAGAAUCACAAAAUUGUAGGAGCUGGAAAGGACCUCCAGAGAUCAUCAAAAUAAGCUCAGUGUAGCAUGAUUCAUAGCGUACUGUUGAUACCCUGCACCUUCUGCUUAAAAUAAGGACUCCUUCCAAUUAUGAAAAAUAUCAUAUUAAUUGAGCUACAUUUUGCAUGAUUAUUCCCUGGGAAGAUGAGAACUUCUUGCUUCACUGUACCGUAAGAAUUCAUCUGGAACAGAUCCAAUUAGGAGUGACUUUAUGGUAUACAGAGACACUGGUCUGAUGAAUUUCUAAUGUCAAACAUAUAUGCUUUACAGCAGCAUUUAUUGGUAGCUAGCACUACUCACAUCUAGUUCCAAAAGUCUGUCUCAGGUACUGCAAUUGGUGGAUGGAAUAAGGACUUGUUAUGGGAGUCUUUUGGAGUGUAGCAAGCAAUACCUAUGUACAAAUAGUUACAAGAUUUGAAGCUCCAAAACAGCAAGCCAGCGAGGAUGAUUAUCUCAUUCAUUUCCUGUAGUUGCUGACAAGUCAGCAUGAUAGCACUGUCUCUCUAUGCUUAGGGAGAGGCCUGUCCCGUACAUCCCUCACCCCCACAAGACGCCUACUACAACAGGGUGCGUGGAUGUAGAGCCAUUGCCCAGGCAAUGCCCACACUGCGUCAGCUGCUCUCACGAGAGCUGCCGGGUUGCUGUUAUCUCAGGGUUCCCUGGAUGAAAGAACCAACCGUAAC